AUUGAACGCUGGCGGCAGGCCUAACACAUGCAAGUCGAACGAGUGGCGGACGGGUGAGUAAUGUCUGGGAAACUGCCCGAUGGAGGGGGAUAAAUACUGGAAACGGUAGCUAAUACCGCAUACCAUCGGAUGUGCCCAGAUGGGAUUCGCUAGUAGGUGGGGUAACGGCUCACCUAGGCGACGAUCCCUUGCUGGUCUGAGAGGAUGACCAGCCACACUGGAAUGGAGAAACGGUCCAGACGCCGACGGGAGGCAGCAGGGGGGAAUAUUGCACAAUGGGCGGAAGCCUGCUGCAGCCAUGCCGCGUGUAUGAAGAAGGCCUUAGGGUUGUAAAGUACUGUCAGCGGGGAGGCGUUACUCGCAGAAGAAGCACCGGCUAACUCCGUGCCAGCAGCCGCGGUAAUAC
rnacentral:rRNA from 1 species